rnacentral:lncRNA from 1 species
GCUUUCACAGUCUCCAUAAAACUACUCAUUGGAAUGUUUGGAUCAGACCUAAAUUUUCUCACGUACUUCUUUGCCAGAAAACCUGAAUUAACCCUUCUAUUUUGCCACACCAUGGUACAUGUGUGCUCAUCUACAAAUGUGUUAAUUCUAAGACUCUUGUCAGGUUGUUGGUACGCAUACAAAACCCAAGGACAAUUAUCUUGACACCGAACUCUCAAC